CAGCAGCCGCGGGAAUACGUAGGUGGCAAGCGUUGUCCGGAAUUAUUGGGCGUAUAGGGCUCGCAGGCGGUUUCUUAAGUCUGAUGUGAAAGCCCCCGGCUCAACCGGGGAGGGUCAUUGGAAACUGGGAAACUUGAGUGCAGAAGAGGAGAGUGGAAUUCCACGUGUAGCGGUGAAAUGCGUAGAGAUGUGGAGGAACACCAGUGGCGAAGGCGACUCUCUGGUCUGUAACUGACGCUGAGGAGCGAAAGCGUGGGGAGCGAACAGGAUUAGAUACCCCCGUAGUCCCUGUCUCUUAUAC
rnacentral:rRNA from 1 species